GGGGAAUUUUGCGCAAUGGACGAAAGUCUGACGCAGCAACGCCGCGUGGGUGAUGAAGGUCUUCGGAUCGUAAAACCCUGUCGUCAGGGACGAAGGGUUGGGGCCUAAUACGCCUUGACCUUGACGGUACCUGGAGAGGAAGCCCCGGCUAACUCUGUGCCAGCAGCCGCGGUAAUACAGAGGGGGCAAGCGUUAUUCGGAAUUAUUGGGCGUAAAGGGCGCGUAGGCGGUUCUUUAAGUCGGAUGUGCAAUCCCCGAGCUCAACUUGGGAACUGCAUCCGAGACUGGAGAGCUAGAGUGCUGGAGAGGGUGGUGGAAUUCCACGUGUAGCGGUGAAAUGCGUAGAGAUGUGGAGGAACACCAGUGGCGAAGGCGGCCACCUGGACAGUAACUGACGCUGAGGCGCGAAAGUGUGGGGAGCAAAC
rnacentral:rRNA from 1 species